UUUCGCAAUGCCCGAAAGGGUGACGAAGCGACGCCGCGUGGGUGAGGAAGGCCUUCGGGUUGUAAAGCCCUGUCAGGAGUUAAGAAAUGUAAGUGCGCUAAUAUCGCAUUUAUUUGACGAAGGCUCCAAAGGAAGCCACGGCUAACUCUGUGCCAGCAGCCGCGGUAAUACAGAGGUGGCAAGCGUUGUUCGGAAUUAUUGGGCGUAAAGAGCACGUAGGUGGGUUUGUAAGUCAGAUGUGAAAGCCUUCUGUUCAACGGAAGAAUUGCAUCUGAAACUGCGAGUCUUGAGUGUAGGAGGGGAGAAUGGAACUUCUGGUGGAGCGGUGAAAUGCGUAGAUAUCAGAAGGAACGCCGGCGGCGAAAGCGAUUCUCUGGCCUAUUACUGACACUCAGUGUGCGAAAGCUAGGGGAGCAAACGGGAUUAGAUACCCCGGUAGUCCCAGCCGUAAACGAUGGGCACUAAGUAGAGGGGUUUU
rnacentral:rRNA from 1 species